rnacentral:pre_miRNA from 1 species
AUUGUACUCCCUCUAUCCGGAAAUACUUGUCGGAGAAAUGGAUGUAUCUAGACAUAGUUUAGUUCUAGAUACAUCCAUUUUCAUCCAUUUAUGCGACGAGUAAUUCCGGACGGAGGGAGUAAGUA